CUCAAUCAAAACAUUGGAUGGUAAACAUGGACUUUUGAUGACAUUAGGAAGUUGCGUGGAAUUAUGGGACUUACAGUUUUUAUCGUUAAACACCAUCACCGCUUCUGGUCACUGUUGAAUUUACCCGUUCAAGUUUAUUCAUGUUACGUUUAGUAACGUUUAUUCAUGUUAUUCCAAUAAAAUAGCUGCAGUUUUACCAACAUGAUUACGUUUUUCUUGAUUUGAUUUGUAUUGGUAACUGACCAGUUAGCUAGUGAGCCAGCAAGCAAACAUUAGCCAACAGCUAAAACCACACUAUCACAAUAUAUUUCACAUGUCAAUUUCACCUCUUGGAUGGUUUC